UGAUAAUCCUAUGUCACCAAGUCCCUCUUGCAACUAUUUGAAAAUAUUUUCGAAGAAUAUCACUGCCUGAUUGUUCUAGGGCACUCGCCUUUCCGGAAAUGCCCUCGCCCAGCGGGCAGCCUCCACAUCCCGAGGAGGUUCACAGAAAACCAGACAGAACAAAAUGGGCAAAGAGGACCGUCCUCACAGAGGCCUCGCUUCGGCAGGAAGGCAGACGGUCAGGUGAGUGAGCAAUGCCCUGAGGAGUGUCACACAGGGUGAGGG
rnacentral:lncRNA from 1 species